GGUUGGCUAGCUCAGUUGGUUAGAGCGUCGAGCUAAUAUUGCGUAGAGCACUACGUAAGCCACUCGAAGGCCAUGGGUUCGACCCCCAUGCUGACCA